ACAUUUUUCUCAUUCAUAAGCACGAUGAUUGGCUUUUCAUGCUCAUGAGUGAGACAUGCCUCGUCAAACUUUGUCAUGACAUUGACACAUUACCAGUCUGACA